rnacentral:rRNA from 1 species
GUCUAUGGCCAUACCACCCUGAACGCACCCGAUCUGUCUGAUCUUGGAAGCUAAGCAGGGUCGGGCCUGGUUAGUACUUGGAUGGGAGACCGCCUGGGAAUACUGGGUGCUGUAGGCU